rnacentral:lncRNA from 1 species
GAUUCACCAUAUGAUCCACGGGCAAGGGCGGACGCCAAUGGAAGGCGUCCGAUAAGCCUCCCUCCCCAGCAUCCAGUGGCCCCAGCAUUCUGUGUCUCCAGCAUCCUCUGUCCCCAGCAUCCUCUGUCCCCAGAAUUCAGUCUCCAACAUGGAAUGGACCCAGCAUCUGCUAUCCCAGUAUCUGUUGCCUGCAUUGUCUCCUCCCUGGAUUAACACGGGGAAGUUCUGACCAUUCAAUGAUGUCUAAUUUUUCUUUCCAAACACUGAUUGAGAACCUGGGAGCCCUUGAUACACAGAGGCCAGAAGAUCUGUGUUCCUCCACUGUGACUGUGGAGAAGGAAGAUGGACAGGGAUGGCUCAGCUCUUGCAUAAGUCGCU